AGACUCCUACGGGAGGCAGCAGUGGGGAAUAUUGGACAAUGGGGGGAACCCUGAUCCAGCCAUGCCGCGUGUGUGAAGAAGGCCUUUUGGUUGUAAAGCACUUUAAGCGAGGAGGAGGCUUACCUGGUUAAUACCUGGGAUAAGUGGACGUUACUCGCAGAAUAAGCACCGGCUAACUCUGUGCCAGCAGCCGCGGUAAUACAGAGGGUGCAAGCGUUAAUCGGAUUUACUGGGCGUAAAGCGCGCGUAGGUGGCUAAUUAAGUCAAAUGUGAAAUCCCCGAGCUUAACUUGGGAAUUGCAUUCGAUACUGGUUAGCUAGAGUAUGGGAGAGGAUGGUAGAAUUCCAGGUGUAGCGGUGAAAUGCGUAGAGAUCUGGAGGAAUACCGAUGGCGAAGGCAGCCAUCUGGCCUAAUACUGACACUGAGGUGCGAAAGCAUGGGGAGCAAACAGGAUUAGAUACCCUGGUAGUCCAUGCCGUAAACGAUGUCUACUAGCCGUUGGGGCCCUUGAGGCUUUAGUGGCGCAGCUAACGCGAUAAGUAGACCGCCUGGGGAGUACGGUCGCAAGACUAAAACUCAAAUGAAUUGACGGGGGCCCGCACAAGCGGUGGAGCAUGUGGUUUAAUUCGAUGCAACGCGAAGAACCUUACCUGGCCUUGACAUACAGAGAACUUUCCAGAGAUGGAUUGGUGCCUUCGGGAACUCUGAUACAGGUGCUGCAUGGCUGUCGUCAGCUCGUGUCGUGAGAUGUUGGGUUAAGUCCCGCAACGAGCGCAACCCUUUUCCUUAUUUGCCAGCACUUCGGGUGGGAACUUUAAGGAUACUGCCAGUGACAAACUGGAGGAAGGCGGGGACGACGUCAAGUCAUCAUGGCCCUUACGGCCAGGGCUACACACGUGCUACAAUGGUCGGUACAAAGGGUUGCUACUGCGCGAGCAGAUGCUAAUCUCAAAAAGCCGAUCGUAGUCCGGAUCGCAGUCUGCAACUCGACUGCGUGAAGUCGGAAUCGCUAGUAAUCGCGGAUCAGAAUGCCGCGGUGAAUACGUUCCCGGGCCUUGUACACACCGCC
rnacentral:rRNA from 1 species